rnacentral:rRNA from 1 species
UACGGAGGGUGCAAGCGUUACUCGGAAUCACUGGGCGUAAAGGGCGCGUAGGCGGCCUAGCAAGUCUGGUGUGAAAGCCCAGGGCUCAACCCUGGAAGGGCACUGGAAACUGUUAGGCUUGAGUUCCGGAGAGGUGGGGGGAAUUCCCGGUGUAGCGGUGAAAUGCGUAGAUAUCGGGAGGAAUACCGGUGGCGAAGGCGCCACUCUGGACGGAAAUUGACGCUGAGGCGCGAAAGCGUGGGGAGCAAACAGG